ACAGAUCAUGUCGACAUAAAUAUAUAUCCUGACUGAGUAUUUUACGUUUAGAGAUAUUAUGCAUGAUAUAUUUGUAUGGCUUUCUUUCUAAAGUGGAACACAUAAGAAAAAAAAUGAAGAGUGUGAGUUCGCUUUCUUCUAUUAUACUGAAACCAGUUCAAAUCAAAUCGGCACUUUUGUGUGAGAAGUGGUCAUUCACCGAUAAUCUUCCCAUUGUUAACUACUGCAACGAGUCAGGGAUAUGAGAUAAACUUCAGAAUAAGUACAGUGAUGGCCUGAAGUGGGAGAUGCUUGUGACAUUUGUGGGGAACUCAUCCAACUGGCCAGCCAUCCUUGAGGAAAUGCCAAGAGGCCGGGUGAGCUGUUGUCAUAGCAGAUGCAUCAAAAGAGGGCAGAGCUUCAAGCAAAACUGGCAAAACAAUGCAGGACAAUCUGACGCACUGAAAAUGUCAGAAACUCUCAGUAGUGGUGUUCAGCCUUAUGUUCAAAAUGGAAACAGUUUAAAAGCCAGUCAUCUGGUUGUGCUGUGCGUAAUAAAUGCACAUUUAUGUAUUACACAGACGG